rnacentral:rRNA from 1 species
CCUACGGGGGGCAGCAGUGGGGAAUAUUGGACAAUGGGGGCAACCCUGAUCCAGCCAUGCCGCGUGUGUGAAGAAGGCCCUCGGGUUGUAAAGCACUUUCAGUGAGGAAGAACGCCUGGUGGUUAAUACCCAUCAGGAAAGACAUCACUCACAGAAGAAGCACCGGCUAACUCCGUGCCAGCAGCCGCGGUAAUACGGAGGGUGCGAGCGUUAAUCGGAAUUACUGGGCGUAAAGCGCGCGUAGGUGGCUUGAUAAGCCGGUUGUGAAAGCCCCGGGCUCAACCUGGGAACGGCAUCCGGAACUGUCAAGCUAGAGUGCAGGAGAGGAAGGUAGGAUUCCCGGUGUAGCGGUGAAAUGCGUAGCGAUCGGGAGGAAUACCAGUGGCGAAGGCGGCCUUCUGGACUGACACUGACACUGAGGUGCGAAAGCGUGGGUAGCAAACAGGAUUAGAUACCCUAGUAGUC